CAUAUUUCCCUCAGAAUGCCUACACAGUCUGCCAUUGAUAGCUGUGCUGCCGCAGUCUACCUCGUCAUUUCUGAUUAUUGUAUUUGAAGUCUAGUGGUAUAUUCGAAGUGGAGAAAAGAGAGAAAUAUCCAACAUUGAAGAAAGAUCACCAUGGAGAAAAGUGUUCAGGGAGUUGGUCGUUGUAAAUUUGCAUUUUGGUUCGCUGUGUUCCAUGACAUUUUUGGUUUGCUGGUCCUCUUGUCUGGUGUGUUUUGGGAUAUUUUCUUCCAUGACUUUUUGAUCUAUGCAGGAUCUGUGAUAAUUUUUCUGAGCCUGAUAUGGUGGGUGUUCUGGUACACUGGUAACAUUGAGGUGCCUCCUGCAGAGUUGGACGAUGAUGUUAUGCCGCAUAAAAGAAAAAAGGGGAUUUCAGGUGUUGUGCGCAAAGUCUCCAACCGUCUUUCGAAUGGUUUAAGAAAUUCCUUUAGGAAAAGUGGGAGAUCCAGCGGGCAGGUGGGAAACUCUUGGCUGAACGGCACCAACGGGACAGUUCCAGCAGAACAGCCUUCUAUCUCCAUGGUCUCCUAUGUGAACACACAACCAGUGGGGAAGACCAACAACUUAAACAGAGAACCAAUAUCAGUAUAACCUAGAGUGGUGUGAAGAUCAUUGCCUCCAGACAACCGCACCUACACACUGUCAAGAAAGCACAUGACUGAAAACAUAUAGUGAAUAUAGUGUGGAGUCAUUUCUCAUUUCUUCACAGUUGAUUUACUUUUUUAUGAUACUAUGUAAAUGUUCUGGGUAAUACAAUGACUGUUGAAUAUAUUUCCAAUAUGAUGAAAUGAAUUGUACUUGAUUACCAUUGAAAUACUGAAAUAUAUAUUUAACGUGUUGCUGGGAAA